UACAGAGGUCGCAAGCGUUGUUCGGAUUCACUGGGCGUAAAGGGGGCGUAGGUGGCGCCGUAAGUCAGGUGUGAAAUUUCGGAGCUUAACUCCGAAACUGCAUUUGAUACUGCGGUGCUUGAGGACUGGAGAGGAGACUGGAAUUUACGGUGUAGCAGUGAAAUGCGUAGAGAUCGUAAGGAAGACCAGUGGCGAAGGCGGGUCUCUGGACAGUUCCUGAGACUGAGGCACGAAGGCCAGGUGAGCAAACGGG
rnacentral:rRNA from 1 species